rnacentral:lncRNA from 1 species
UUUGAUAAUAUGUACUCCCUCCGUCCGAAAAAACUUGUCCCUCAAAUAGAUUUUUUUUAGAAAAGUCCCUUAAAUAAAUGUAUCUAACAUCAAGUUAGUGCUAGAUAUCACGCUGCAGGUGGGAGUAGGAAUAAGUAGGACUAGACUUCCUAUCUCACUUAAAACGCCUUAGUGAGAGCCCAUUGGACCAGAAAGAAAUUAAGUGGGCUAGCCCCUUUAGCCCACUGGAACCCCACUUUACCCUAUUAGCUCAUCCCCGUAGCUUCUGGUGCAGGGAGGGCGGCGCCACAGCGUACACCCACCGCCGUCGCCGAUCGAUGGCAGCCGCCGCUGCACGGCGCACCCCGCCUCUUCCGGCUUGCACGUAGCCCCUCCCCUACCUCGCAGCUUCUCCCUACUCCGCCUCACCGGUGUUCCAAUCAAGAAUUUGACGAACACCUCGACCCUGGCCGGACGCGAUGGGCAGGUCGCCGGCAGCCCCAACCCCGACCCCCAGGUCGCCGGAAGCAUCAAUCACGACCCCCGGGUCGCCGGCUGUCCCAACCCCAACACCCAAGGCGUCGGAUGCGUCAAUCCCAGCGCCCAAGGUGCCGGAUGCGUCGUCGGCAGCAGGUGACCCAUCAGAGUAUACUUGCUUGAUUCUUUACUUGAUUCAGUGUAUGAUGCUUGUUAGAGAUUUCCUUUCCAUCACAUUCAGUGCAUGAAAUGUUUCCUUACUUGAUUCUUUGCUUUCCUGGGGUAAUUUUUUUAACUCAUUAGGACAUGGAUGAUGACUGAUCUUUCAUUGUAUUGAUGUGAAGUACUAAUUGAGGUUCAGAGGUUGCAAUUUGAAAUUUGCUUGGUGUCAAUGGAAUUUGUAAAAGAUGGCCACUUUGAAAUUUGCUUGGCGUAUAAAUGGAAAAAGAAGUUGCAGAGACACAACCCUCAUGUGUCCACGUCCGGUUAAUUUUGUUUUGUUCUUUCAUAUUUUCUCUGAAAGAUGAUUCAGUUUACAAAAAUGAUCCAUCAAUGGUAGUGUGCUUCUUUUACCAUGUCAUUCCAUUGCCUCGUAAUAAUGGUAACAAAAUGACAUGAUUGUUCCUUUUUUUAAACUUGUUUUCUAUCUUAUUAUUUGCGUGAACUAUCUUAUUAUUGCAGAUGUGGAAGAGCAUGAAAGUAGCUGUCGAUGGUUUACUUUAGAUGGAUUUGUGAUCUGUAGUCUAGUUUUUUCACCGUCUUAACACGUGUUCUAGUUCAUGCUGCUUUUGCUUUCAGAAGAAAGUUAUUAUUAUUUUUUGUUAAUUUUACUUGUUUGGCUCCUGCUGUUCUAGCGAGGAUAACAAAAUGGUACUGUGUAGGAUCUUGAAUUCCUGAUUGCUGGUAUCUGAAAACUGAAUUCGUAGCAGUCAGAACGUUACUCAUCUUAUUUAACUUGGUUGUGAAAAAUUUCAGAUCUUGAGGAGCACAAGGGUACUAGUGAGCUCUUGCGUGCCAUAAAAAUUGAGAAGGCUAAUGGUCCGGAUCUUCAUUAUCUCUGAAUCAAAUUGCCCUUCUCAUGUUAUGUUGUCUACCCUUUUAUUGUUUCCUAGAGGGAUAUUUCAAUUGCAACAACUAUCAGAUUCUAUUUCUCCUCUGCCAGUUGCGAUUCCAAUGGAUCCGGGUGGCGGCAAGAACAAAGGCUCCGGUGGCGGGAAAGAAGUGCUGUGUUCUCCAUGUCACACUGUUUAUUUGAUGUCGCGCUGGGUGUUUUUGUUCCUCUUGCUACCAAGUUCAGUCUUUAAGUUUGAGCGAAAUGCAGCUUAACGAUGACUGACAUUGUAGUGGCUUGUAGUUUUAUCCCAGAUAUGUCUUGUAGUUUUAGCACAUCACAUGCUAUUCUGAUGAAUACCAUGCCUUGUAUAGGCUGUAGGUGCAGUAUAUGAGUGUGACACCUUGUAGUUGUGUUUCAUACAAUGUCUUUUGUUAAGUGGGAUACUGGGAUCCCACUUAACCCAUGUAAUGUUUGGUGGGUUACCCAAUAUUUUCCACCAAUUUGUAGUGGGAUCAGGUUGGCUGAGGUGGGAUGCCCACGGGUAGUCCCACUUGCAGCGUGAGCUAGAUACAUCCAUCGAAGGACAAUCUUGUGACAAGCUUUUUCGGAUGGAGGGAGUACUUGUUUCCAUUCAAGUCGAAAGCAAAGCUAUCAGGACAUGUGCAAUUAGCAUGGGUUAUAUGAGCAAUGUGUUUACCUGGUAUGAACAAUCCAGUUAUGUUUUUCUGAGCCCAUGAAAACCUAGAUAAAGGCAAAAGGUUAGCUAAUUGGUUAGGAAUCACACUUGCGGCCAAGCAAAAACUCACAGUACUUCCUACUCACAAAAUAAAAGAAACACUGUGCUUACAUAAUUCCUGCUGCUGCUGGGGCUACUGCUUUGAAGAUUGACAUCAGAGUCACAGAUAUACCAUUUGCGACACCCCUUUGUUCUUGUGCCUGUACACAUUUUCAUUGGAGAAGUUAGAACAUAGCAAAAAUGAAUCAAAGAAAACGCAAUGAGACAGAUGAUACAUACCACCGCUGUGUUCUGCAGAAUGUUGCAGGCAAUAGUAAUCGUAGCCUGUUCCAUUUUAGAUGAUAAAUCAAAAUAUGUUCAUGAUCAAAUUGUCUAUUAAAAUCACUGCCCAUGGAGCUUAUUUGUCCAAGGGUACUGAACAUCUAAUUUUAUUUCAUCUGUAUGAGUGGUGCUCAAUUAUGGUUUCUUUAGACCCGCCCAAACAGUCAUCAACGUGUUUGUAUUCUUUUAAAGGAAGGUUUUAUUGAUCUUCCGGCCUCUUCACCAAGAUGAUGAACAUGUUUGUAUAGGAUGUUACUAAUGUAAGCAGCGAGGUCACUGAUGGAGUAUGAAUGUUUGGAGGAGCUACAUGAGAAUAUUUUCUUCCAUCUAAGUCCUCAAAAAAUUUCCUUCAGUGAUUUGCAUUGGGCUGGGGGGCACGAAACCCUUAGCUAUACACAUAUCUCCGCACCUGAGCGAGGUAUAAUUUUUCUUUGUACUGGAUGGGUACUAGGGUUUUUGCCAACCACCAACGAACACCCCUAGUUUGUAUUAUUUUCACCUUAAACGAAGCAAUACAGAUAAUAAUAUGCUAACAAUUUGUUCCGACCAGAAAAUGGACAUACCGCAAACAUAUUCUUAAGAAGCGAGGCUAUGUUGAUGAGUACUUUGAGCUCCACACCAUAUAGGUUAGCCAUGAAUGGAUAUGUUGCAAGGAGAAGUAUAGAUAAUACCUGAAAAAACAAACAUGCAUUUGGUACUGUACAAUAGAUUAGACAUAUUAGUGAAGUAUCUUGAUGCAAAAUGUUCUUGUCACAUACCGCUGCAGAACGGAAUGGCUUGACUAGCCCAGCAUACUUGGCAAGGAACGGGUAGAUCAGAAGUUGAUAUACCAAAACACCAAAACCUGCAAGAUCGAACAAAAACAGCCACAAGGUAAAGGAGUUCAAAACCAGUACUUCAUGUAAUAGGUAAAGGAGAGAUGCCAGAUAUGUGUCGAGUUCAUUCAUUUUGUGCUGAAUGUUUCUCAUGUGCAAUGACCAUACUAUACAAAUUGAAGAAACGUCACAUACCUGAGAUAGCUAGCACGGUACCAACCUCCUGAGAUGUAAAACUCAGUCCCCGGUAUUUUCUGCUGCUCACAGCCCAGAGUGAAAAUAUCUGACCAUGGAAUUUACAGAACACAUGCAAAGUUGAUUUAGUUCCUUACAAAAAAAAGGUUGAUUUAGUCCCUAAUAUGGUUGUUCUCUACACUCUAAAGGGUAGAUACCAUAUAUACUAGCAUCUUUUCAACCUAAAAUAUUGUUGAAUAUGUUCAAUAUGCCUAAACAUAGAUUUACCUCAAGAUAAGCUGUAUCAUGGAGAGAAAACACACAGUAGAGGGUUAUUGCUGACAUCAACUGCCAGUUCUUUAGCAGGUUCUUUGUGGAUGCCAUUCUGCAUGAUCCAGAUUGUUUAGCUUUCCUGUCUUCUGAGGUCGAAUCAGCAACUUGCGCCUCCAUUUCCUCAAUAGCUUCCACUUUGUCAUCAUGGUACAUGUGCAGAGUUUCCUAAAAAGAAUCAUUUAUUCAAGUAGGAAAUCAAGGGAGAGAAAAAAAAUCAUAAGGAGAUUUACGGGCAAUACCGGCAGCCAAAUGCAUGCAAGACAUGCUCCUGCCGCUAGAACCGAUAUGACGAAGCAAGGGAGGAAGUAUGGAAACCUAUAAGUAGAUGUAAUUUGAAAGGUUUAUCUUAUCUUCCCAACAAUGCAAAAUUUGUAUCAUUGAAAGAGUAUGAGUAAUAAUCUACCUUCCAAAUAUGGAUUCCUCAGAGAAAAGAUUCGGGUACUUCUUUGCAGGCUGGUACAAGACAGAGAAUACACAAUGUUAGCCAGAGCCAUUCAUAUAAGAUUACUAACUAUCCUCCAAAGGGAGAUGUUGUGUUCAUCCUUCGACAAAAAUUCUAGUUUUCACUUUUAACUGUUAGAUAUAAAUUCCUCCAAAUAAAGCAUAUAUGUACUUUCCUAACACUGUCAUGACAGUAAAGUUCUUGCCUAUUGGUACAGUAUUUUGGUUUUGCCCCAAUUAGUAGAUGAUCCAUUAUUCUCAAGCUCUACACCACGGUUACAUAUAAUUAUAGUGGCCUAGUGAGUUAUUCAGUAAUGGCUUUAUUGAACUACUGUAUGCACGAGUAACUUAUGCUUAGUUUGUUAAAGUGGUUAAAUACGAUCUUAAUUCUGCAAGGAUACUUCUGUAUUUCUAUAACUCGAUAUCAAAGUUAACUGAUCCUCACCUGUGCAAGAAAUCCUCCAAUGGCUGGUCCAAUAACAAGAGCUAUUGCUCGUGAAGAUGUAACCUAUGACAUAAUGUCAGACAUAAUUAUCAGCUAGUAACAGAUAAGCCUUUCUUCAAAUGAAUCAAACCGAGAGUCUGAACAUAAAGAUGAACUGUUCUCACAAGAGAAAUUCCUAGUGCUUGGUGCUCUUUUCUGCAGACUUCUGAAGCAUAGGCCUGAAAAAUGCAGACACAACCGUGAGUGUUCAACAACUAGUGCCAUUUGCUUAAUUUAAUUAACUCAUCACCCUCAGUGUACAGAAAUCACCUUGAUUGGUCCUAAUAUACCACAGAGUAACCCAAGUAGCCCCCUAGUUACAAUUGCCAUCCAGUAAGUCGUGCUAAGGCCGAAAAGGGUGUUAAAUACGAUCCUGAAAAAGAAGUAGUAGCGUAGGAUUAAUUUUGAUUUAAUUGAAUGGAGUACGAAAUAUGUUUUCAUAAUCUAACUGAAUUUUCCGUACACUGAGAGGAUACUGAUAACAAUGCAAGGCUUCCUCCCAUAUUUGUCAGCAAAAAUGCCCCAUGGCACAGCACUGAUGGUUCUUCCAAGGAAAUAAGCAGCCCCUUGAGACAGAGUAUACAGUCAGUAGCUACUGGUCGAAAAAUAACUAUUUUCGAAUUAUGACGCUAUUAAAGUCUACUCAGUGUACUUGUAGUCUUUUAUUCCCUUAUUUUUCCAGUAAUUUGACAAACGUUACAGGGGACAAUACUAACCAACAAAACCAGCAUAGAACCCAAUGUCUUGCUCUUGCUUUGCGACUUCCAAGUCCCUAAUCUGUUAAAUAAUAACAACGGCGGACAUAUAAUUAAUCAACACAAAGUAUGUAAUAAUUCAACAAACGACAAUUCAUGCAUACAAUCAGGAUAGAUGUUCAAGUUUUGCGACUUCUGUACAUACCAUGAAGUAUAGAUAGGGAAACAGUGACUGGAUCGGUAGAGCUGGAAAGAUAACAAACCAAGUUGUUAGUUAGCAAACGCCAACAAUUGAUAUACCUUAACUUAUAAAAAUCCUAUAGAAAUAUGUCCAAUCUUUUAAUGAAGGUGACAAAAAAAAGUGAGUUUUGUAGACAAACUGCAGAAAGAGCCUCUGGAGAAACCAUGAAAUAAAUGCAGAAAGGCACAUGUUUGGGAGCAUCUCCUAAUGUUUUGAAGUCUGAAAUCAGAAUCUCUUGGUUAUGUUAAUUGAAAGCGAUUGGAUUGCACUAUUGUACUAGAGUAGCAAAUCCAAAUGUUAUAACAUCUCUACACCCUCCAGAUUCUGGCAGUCAUACAGCUGUUCCAUGAGGAUGCUGCCUGAUCAUCAGAGGAAAUCCUGUAAAAGAGAGCAUCGUGUGGCAUCAUACCGGCACACAAGCAUGCGAUCCAAAUGUAGAGGAACUCCGUGUAGGGUAUCCGGUGGUCGGCCUGCGUCUUCCUCUCCUGUCUGCAUCCGGGGCAUCGUUCAUGGUACACCUUCCUGACGCGGAGCAAUGGCGCCUCUCGGCCUGACCCGGUCAUCUUGAUGCCUCCGGCUGCGGCUGCGGCUGAAUGCUACGUGACUCUUCCUACUCCGUUGGACGUCCUUAAUCCACAUCAAGAUGAUGCCUGGAUUCUGAGAGUCGCGCGGCAUCCUCGUUUGCCAAGAGCUGGAGAAUGAAGCCUGGCUCUAGUUGUUCGUGGAUUCUUGCCUUUGGUUUGUUUGGCUAAAUUUAGGUGGCAGGAUGAGAGGGUUGGCCAAGUCUUUCACGUGCAUGUGUAUGUAGUACCAGUACAAGUGCGGCCGCUCCUCUUUCUCACUCCAUAAAUCAUAAUGGCAAAUUCUUUUUUUAGAAGUAAAAAGCUUAAUGUUGUUUUCAACCUAUUGUGCAGUUGCGAACCAACCCGUGGUUGGAUGGUUAGAGGGACAGUGGUAUCCCCAGCCCACCAGGGUUCACGUCCUGGUGCUCGCAUUAUUCCUGGAUUUAUUUCAGGAUUUUCGGUGAUACGCUUUCAGUGGGAGGAGACGUUCCCGUCGACGACGAGGCGCCUACGGUGACUUCGUAAGCGCCUACAGUGACUUCGUAAAUCUCAAGAUGAUAUGCCGGCUCAGUCUCUCGGAGGUGCUCAUAGGGUAGGGUGUGCGUUUGUGUGUUCAUAGGGGUGAGUCUAUGCGCAUAUGUAUGAGCACUUGCGUCUGUACUGUGUUAAAAAAACCUAUGGUGGAGUUUUCUUUUGCCAAGAAACACCGUACAAACCCACACUCAUGUACACGCACAUACACUCACUCCUAUAUGAACGCAUACAAGCACCACUGCAAAGUCUAGGACUUGAACUAUGGUAGGCUGGUUCCAUCACAAGGAGACACCGAAGGCCUCCACAAAUUGAGAUUUGGUCGUAGAACGAACGAAUUGUAUCCAAGGAACAAGGGGAUAAAAAAGUAAUAAGAGAAACGCAUUGCUCAUGGCUUGUAUUGUAGUCGUAUUCUUGUAGUCCGCCCUCCAUGCCUCUUUAGUCUUUCUAAUCCCGAGGCAUUUUUCCCUCAUUCCUUUUGUGUCUGGCCGUCAGAAAAAGGCAUCUUUUCCAGCUUGCAAGAUCGCUUCGCUUUUGGCGACUAGUUUCUACCCACAAUGGCUAAAGCUACCUUUAAUGAAUGAAUGAUUUGUAAUACCCAUGAGUUAGAUGAACCUAACCAUCUGAGCUACGCUCCGUUCACCCGAUGGUGGAGUUGGGAGGGCAUGGUUUGAGCCCACACAUCUUGGACCACUCCGUCGCCUCAAGGAAUCAUUGAGAUCGGGCUCCUCAUAUAGGAUGCAAAAAUAAUAUACACUCAGUCAAGCUUGAGACAUGGGGUGUGUUUGAUUGCUCGCGGCCCCCCAAACAGUACCAGUGCAUGCAAAAAAGCCUAUUCAAUUGCUCACGCGAGGCGUUGGCUCACGCGCACGAAACUCAAAGCAUUCCAUAUCCUGACUUGCUAGGAACGCUUGAAUCGACCGUUUCCGUGGAGCCGGGCUGAGGCGAGCGCAAGUCGGGAGGGGGUUGGCGUACGUAGGGGUGCAGGCAUGGAGGUGGCGAGAGACGAAAAUAUGUAGGUGUGAUAUGGCGCGAGAUCUGCAGUCUCAAUCCCCCACCCCCCCUCCCCUUUUACUCGCUCACCUCUAUUGGGAGAACAAAUCCAGCCUCAGUUCUUGGCAGCGGUAGCGGCGGCGACUUAGAUCUGUGGUACCGGCGGCGCGGACCGAGAUCUCUUGCACCAGGAUGUGCUCCUCCCCGCGUAAGCUACUCGUCCCCUUCGUCUCCGUCUCGUCCGCCUCGUCUCCGACAUGGGUGGUCGUUGUCUCACAUGGCGGUAAGCAGCAUACAACUACCCACCAUCCCUCCACUAUUUUGUUGUUAGCUAAGGUGUAGGGUCGAUUUUGUUGUUACUUACCACAACAUCAAUUUCACUAGGACAAACGAAUGAAGCUGCUCAUUCACGCAUCAACACUCGUAGUUGUGACUCAGACCUAGGUCAUGUUGGUCCACAAGAGAGUGGUUCGUCACAAUUCGAAACCUGUGAUUAGACAUGGUCCAAUGUUAUCCCGAGAUAGUGAGAGGAUGGCGAAUCUAAACUACAUCUACAACAUUAAUGAUGUAGAGAUUGUCAACAUGCUUCGAAUGAGAAGAUCGCGUUUCUCCAAGCUUGUGAAGAUGUUUAGAGAGAGGGGGUUGCUAGAAGAUAACAUCUACACCUCUAUGGAAGAUCAAGUAGCAAUGUUCCUUCAUGUUGUAGGUCAUAACCAGAAGUUCAAAGUGAUUUACAACACAAUUAGGAGAUCCAACGAGACAAUUUCCCGGUAUUUCAAGCAAAUCUUAUAUGUGAUUAGAGAGCCCAGAGGAGAGAUGAUCAAGGCACCUAAUGGUCAAACUCCUUCGAAGAUACGUACGAGCUACAAAUUACUAAACAGUAUAACUCAACCACCUAUGAGCCACCACAGCGUUUUGGCGUCGUCAGCCGUCAGAUCAACCUACAGUAACGAACCAGAUCGAGUCGUCGUCCCACCCAGCGCAACAGGUCAUUUUCACCAGGUCGCAAUCCAUUCAGCACACAUGUAGUCGGGCUGCUGCUCCACAGGCCGAGCUAGGGAUCACCUCAUUUGAUGGGCCGAUCAGCGGCCAAAAGCCCAUGUAGCCAGUUACGGGAUUCUUCCAUGUGUUUCGUGCGUACUCCACCAUCGAAAGAAAACCCUCAAAAGAAAAAAGAUGCCACAAUUCAGCUCAGCACCGGCGGCGGAUGCUAUCUCCGCUCCUCCCGGCCGCAUCGUUCGUCCAUCAUCCACCGGUAGAUCUCUUAUGCCCUACAAGUUGAUCCCUUCAUCUUGCCGAAAAAAGAUUGAUCACUUCCUCCACCGGUUGUUGUGUCUCUUAGACGACAUUAUGAUCCUGAGACAAGUUUUUGUAAACCUGCGUUUUGAUUGCCCCUUUUACUACUUCCAGUUCGUGUGUACAAAUAUCUUCUAUUGAUAUUCCUUCCGCUUAUGUCAGCCGGGCUAAUAUGGGAUUCUUGGCACAGCUGGCAGUCCGUUCUUGAGCCUCUCGCUUCCAGAUUUUCCCAUUGCUCUUGUUAGGUAGGGUUUGGAUAAAUCCCAGUUUCAGAAUGUCUAUACUUGUGGUUCAAAUUAUGUUAGCAAAGCCGUGUGAUAUUGGCGUAGAAUGUGCCGAGAAAUACUUCACUGAACCAUUCCACAUGAAGUACAAACAAUGGCUCAUUGACAAGUGUUUCUAAUUUGUUAGGGUCUAAGCCCUCUCGUUGCACUGUUCAUGCUGCCAAACAUUCAAACCUACCAUAGGUUUCUCUUUUUUGAUAAAUGUACCAUCGGCCCCUACAACGACGUGUUCUACUAGGAAAUGGGAUAAAAAAAGGUUGGUUACAUCACUACUUGUGUCAUAUGAAAUCUUCAUUUACCUCUCUAAGACUGAAUCUAUUGCCAAGAAAUUGUUCAAAGAAGUUCUGUUGUGCUUCUUCUACCUAUAGUAGCGUACAUCAAUCCAUAAACUUAAACACAUCUGCUAAUGGCUCUUGAUUUUUGUAUUCCCAGGUACAUCAGCCGUUUCUCCAUGUUUCUAGCAUAUCUUUGCUUCAAUAAUAGAGAAGUGCAUUUGCUUCUUAUCAUGAAUAAUAGUGCAGAAAACAAACAUAACCAUGCAUAUAUUGUUUUGUUCACACCACCUCAAGUUAUUAGUUCAACUUAAUCAGUUUAAUUCCAUAACUUAGGUGAGUGUAAGAACUUUUAAUUAUGUACAUUUUAGGGCCUCAAUUAUUGACUAUGUGUAUGCAUUCUAAGUGUACUGGUUGCACUAUCUUUCAGGCUGCAUGCACGGCAAUGUGUGUUCUAUACCCUAAAUUCAUUCUCUUUCACUACCAAUACUUCUCCUCAUGACUACAAUCUAACCUUCAAGAUAGGCGGGCGCGGCAACGCGCGCCUUCAUGUUCUAGUGGUAUCCAUAUUUCAAGGUGAGCCGUACUAACUAUUAGUUCUUGCCAUGAGAUGAUUGUAUUGUUGUGAGUCAUAAUACUUUUUCCAUGCUAUCACAUGAUUGUAUUCAUGCAAUAGAUGGCACUCACAUGACUGCUAUAGUGUCGAGGUCACGGGCUGCAACAUACAGGUAUAGAAAGCACUACACAAGCCAGAAUGUACUUGCUGCUUAGGAAGGAUCAACCCAUGAUGCUAACAUUCUUGCUGAAAGCAUGGCUCGACCUGGUGAGAUCAAUAUCCCUGAUAAUAAGUUCUAGCCAGGAGAUGUUGGAUAUGCAUGUCGUCCUAGGGUUCUUCACCCAUUAGGAAAACCAGGUAUCAUCUUGGUGAGUUCUCUGCUAGGAACUAUCCUAAGAUUGCCGAAUCUAGCUUUAGAGUUAAAGUUGAGAGGGCAUUUGGUGCUUCAAAGAAUAGAUUCAAGAUUCUUGAUCAGAAGGCAUUCCAUCCUUUCAUACCCAAGUUAAGCUUGGUCUUGCAUGUUGCAUUCUUCAUAACUGGAUCUUAGAGUGGGGUCCUGAUGAGUACGUGUUGGAUGAGGAUGAUGCGACAACUAAUGAUAUUGGAUCUGUCCAUAGUGUGAAGGCACAUGCUAAUGAAGCUUGCAAGAGCAAAAGGUUGGACUGGGCUAAGGCAAUGUGGUCUAAGAGGUAACAGAAGGAUCUGAAGAAGACGAGGAUGGUGAAAUUUCCCCCCUUUUAUCUAUAUGAUUCUUAAUUUGGUACUGUCAUUUGUUAGUAGUUAGGACCAAAAUGAUGUUAAUUUCAUGUUUGUAUAGUGCACUUUGUGGUAAGGCCACAAUUAGUGAGAAGGGGUGACGACAAUAUUAGGCCGGGAGCAAUCAAACGCCAGGCAAUUGUAUCUUCACAGCCAUAACCCUGUAGUGCUGCCAACCGAAUGCCAUCAAACGACCUUGUGAUGCAAUGCCGGCAGCCAACGAAGUGCAAAACAUGGUUCAAAAACUGUAUUUUCUUAAAGAAAGAAUGUAAGGGAGGCCCGUACAGUAUAAUAGGUGCAACAAGCCAAAAUUGCAAGUACCAUGCCUUGAACCUGGGUGGGUGAAAUGCAUAAAUCCCUUUCCACCACUAGGCUAUGCCUUAGUUGGCAUUCAAAGACUGUAUUAGCUUAGCCAGGCUCUACCAGGCCAAAAGUGCAAGGGGGCCAAAAUCUAUUUGAGCAACCACUGUACGAUUAUUAAGGUGGCUCCUAUUCCGCACAGGAUUGGGACGAUCCAUUAGGGACUCAAUCGGAUGUGGUAGCGAUUCAACUCACACUGUAGCGACUCAGGCGAGUACCAUAGCGACUCGACCGACACUACGACGAUUUGUCUGACAAUGUACUGGUGGGACCGGCACUGUAGUGAUCACAGCGAGUACUAUGGUGACUCGAAUGGAUACUGUAGUGAUUGACUUUUUUUGUUUGUUGUUUUCUAUUCAGCUUUAAAAACACAAAAGUUAUUUUUAAAAGUGUACAUUUUUCUUAAAACUCAAAAAAUUCUCAAAUUCCUAACAAAUUUUGAAAAUGCGGAUUUUUUGCCCAAACAUUUUUUGAAAACCAUGAUUUUUAAAAAUACGAACUUCUUUGGAAAUUCCAAACAUUUUUUAGAAAGCAUUUAAAAAACUCAAAUAAUUUCGAAAUUCCAAACAUUUUUUGAAUAAGUGAACACUUUUUGAAUUUUUCGCACAUGUUUUGGACACAAACAAUUUUUAAAAAAUGCGAACAUUUUUUAGAAAAAUUCAAAAACAAUUGCAUUCCUUAAAAAAAUCCGAACAUUUUUUGAAAUUUAUGAAAAGAAACAAAAAAUAAAAACUGCAAAAAAUCAAUAGAAAGAAAAACUGAAAAUCAAAAACCAAAUCCCAACGGGAAGGUUCCCAAAACCGAGAGAUAUGUAGAACGUACGUACAAUAGAUUAAAUGGGACGGCCCAUCUCACCAUCCUUGUGUGUUUGGUCGAUAUGCUUUCACAGGAAGCGACAAAUAAGAUUUGCCUUUGUCAAAGACCGUACUUAUAGUAGUUGUAGUCUGGUCCGCGUCAAUAAAAUCCAUGAUUAAUUGCGUGCAUCUACACAAAAGAUUCGGAGCGGGUGACGGCUGAGCUUCCGUGAAACUUCCUCCAUGGUCUUCCAGGCUGCGCUCGCUCGCUCGCUCCCUGUCAGGGAAUAGACGGACCAGAUACUUUCCUGCCGUCCCGAUAGCAACCGGGGUCUGGAUCUGGAGUGAAGACCAUACGGAUGGGAUGGAUCGCCACCACGUAUCCUCUGUGUGUACGGUGGACUGGGAGGAGGGUAAGAUGUGGUCAUUUCGGGUCCCACAUCGUGCUACUACUGUCAUCCUGGUACUGUACUACACAUGUGACCUUCCCGUCUAUGCGACGCAUGUGUAACUGAGACGCUGACACUGUUGAGUGUACUAGACAUGCCACUGACGUUGAUGCGCAAAUAAAAAAAGACAUGCCACUGACGCGCAGCACAUGGAGCAUCAAUGAAACAUCUGUGUAUAGGUCAGUUAUAAGGUCAGGCACGGUAAGCCGCGGCCUGCGCGCCAGUGUCGGACAAAAUUUCUGUUCUGACCUUUUGUGUAAACUUAAUCAUGAAUUGACCUCGUUUCAAAAAAAAUUUGAAUCUGACUUUUUUGGUCACGCCAACAUCUUUGACGUCUGGUUUGCACGGCAGACGCCAGAGUGCAUGGCGUUUGGAUGUGACGAUGUGGAGACGCCAUCCAUCUUGGCGUUUGGGGAAACGCCGUAGCUCUUGGCGUUUGGUCCUACUCCAUCACUUAAACAAAAAAAGCUACAUGCACCAUUACUAGAGUUGCUUCUAUAAACAAUUCUCUUGAUUAAUUACUCCCGUAAUAAAAAGCUUGCUAACCAUCGUUGCAAAACGAAUUAACCCACACCUAAAUGCAACCAAUGACGACAAAUUUUCUACGGAUCGACUUUGGAUGAGGCGUCAGGGUGAGAUGGAGCAGAUUUCUAGGAGAUUAAUAUGAUGAUCCGAUUUUAAAUUAAUUAAUCGCAUGAUGAUUUACUUUUCUGUAGUAUCUGCGGUUGUUAGCCUAUUAAGGGCAUCUCCAACGCUGACUCUCAAACCUUCCACGACUGUCCGGACCGUUUUGUUUGGACAAAGAAUCCAUCCAACAUGGUCCUGUAUCGGUCUACGGCGUGAUCCCGACGCUUUUUCUUUCACAAACCGGAUAAAAAAUGUGGAGGAGCUUUCCGGGAGUCGGGGCAGCUGUCACGUCCGCUUCUGACAUCCCUAGCCCACCCAAACCCUCCUCCCUCGCCGGUGCACGCUUCCCGCUCGAAACGUUCAGCGUAGAUCCAGCGUACAUCCAGAGCGUGAGUGUCCGCAUUCAUGAGGACCAGAGCAGACGCGACCACUCACUGGCGCCAUCAUUAAAGCAACACGCCGACCGAAAGAGCGCCGCGCGCACCGCUUCCCGGUGCUGGCGUCUGUUCCAUGUUCAAACAACAUGACAGUAGCCCGUCCAUCCGUCUGCCGCCCACAUUGACGGUGGCCCCCUCAAACGCCCAGACAGACCGGCACCCCUCAUCUCCAGGCCAAAUAUGGGGCGGAUAUGAAGACGUCCGGGCACACCCGCCACGUCGGACCCGGCCCACGCUAGCCCACCCGACCCCACAUAAAUUUCUUCCCAUCUCUCGCCGGACCAAAACCUAGCCACUUCCCUCCCCUCCCCUCCACUCUGCUCUGCCACCCAAGCUCGUCUUCGGCUCCUUCCGACCGUCUUCGACAUGGCGGGCAGCGGAUCCGAGUCCUUCACGUCCAGAUCCGUCGACUCCGAACUCAUCCCACGCGCCCCGGAAAGGAGAUGGCCGUCCGACUUGCGCUCCGCCGCGCCUGGGAGGAGGCCCGUGCACGGCAGCGGUCGGGCUCUGUGGAUGUGGAAUGCAUUUUUUAAGGCAUGGCCGGUCAGUGUCCACGGACGCGCCUAGACGCGCCCGUGGACGUUUAAAGAGUCGGAUUUGCCAAGUCCUAACUACAUAGAGGAGUAUUUCGUUUGUUGUCUAGACGUGCCUACGCCAAGACCAAGGUAUUUUGUUUGGAUCCUGAAUUUUGAUCUUUUUUGUACAUUGUCUCCCGUUUUGCCAAACAUAGCCAGAUGGGUAUGUGUGAAGACUACGUUUGUGUGUUCUAGCAGCUUGUAAAUUCUUGUGAAGAAAAAAACAAGUGGUGAUUUGGUCAAGAGAUCAUCUCAUAUACUGUAAUUGUAAUCCCUUAAAAUUCAAGGCAGAUCUCUUUAUUUUCUUCUCCGUAUUUUUUUGCGUGCAUGAUACUACCUCCAUUUCAGUUUACAAGUCCUGCGCGUAUACCUAGGUUGUCAAUUUUAUCACCCUAACAUAAACUAUAUAACACAAAAAUUAUACCUUUUGAAAGUAGAAACUCCGAAGUUUAUGUUGGUAUAUUUUUUGUAAUAUAUGAUUUUUUUUAGGUUGGUCAAAUUGACGACCUAGGGGUACGCGCACGCCCUGUAAACUGAGAGAGAGGUAGUACCAAAUUAGGAUGAGGUAACCAUACAUGCUCUAGCAUGGGCUGGGCUAUCAAGCAAGCCAUUAAUUACGGGAGUUAAUCAAGAUUUUUUUUUGUAGAAGCAACUUCAUUAAUGGUGCAUGUAGCCUUUUCUUUGUUUAAGUAAUGGAGUAGGACCAAACGCCAAGGGCUAUGGCGUUUCCCCCAGACGCCAAGAUGGAUGGCGUCUUCGCAUCGCCACAUCAGCGCCAACCAGGCAAGUAUGGGCCAGGGCCAAACGCCACGCAUCCUGGCGUCUGCCAUGCAAACCAGACGCCAAGGAUGUUGGCGUGACCAAAAAAGGUCAGAUUUGGAAAUCUUUUCAAAACGAGGUCAAUUCGUGAUUAAGUUUAUAGAAAAGGUUAGAACCGAAAUUUUGUCCGCCAGUGUCUAGGAAAAGGAAACGCUAUGGUCCCUCUGGACAUGAUGUAGAGCAACUCAAUUUUAUUUGGAUCCAUUGGUUAGAGUUAGUUUGAACUAGUUGGGGUUUAAAUACCCCUAAAGUAUGUAAAUAUGAGGGUUAAAUUGAAGCUAGUUACACUAACCCAUCCAAAAAAUAUCCCACCAAGAAGUGCUAAUUGAGCUAGUUCUCAUGCAGCUCACUGGAAAAUCAUUUUCUCUCUCUAUCCCGGCAGCCAAGAGAUGCUAAUUGAAGCUAGUUCUCGUGAGGUCCAUUGAAAAAUCACUUUUCUCUCUUCAUCAAGUGCAUUUAUUGUCAAUCUAACCCUAUCAUCCAAACAUCUUUUGGCUAGCGUUAGUUUAGAGUUAGUCAUGAGCUAUAAACUAACUCUAACCUCUAGCUAAUUUAAAGUAUCCAAACAGGCCAUUGGCUACAAUUAAUACAAACUUUUUCAAAGCCGUCGUGAAAAUGCAGUUUUAGGAAUUCCGCAAAACUUUUGGCAAAUCCACAAAUUGUGCUCUAAUGCCAAGUUUGGCUAGCCCUAAUUAAGGUGGUGUUUGGUUCUUUAGUCCUAGGACUUUUUCUAGUCCCUAGGACUUUUUAAAAAAGACUCUCAAGGAGAUGCUUCUAAGGACUUUUAGAAGGAAAAAAAGUCCCAAAAAAGUCCCCCUGUUUGGUUUGCUAGGGACUUUUAGGGACUUUUUUUAGUCGUAACAAAAAAAAAGUCCCUAGAAUCAAACACCCCCUAAUUACAACAACAUAGGACUAUUUGGAUUGGAGUUUGAAUACUAUACUAGGACUAUUUGGAUUGGAGUUUGAAUACUAUACUACUACGAGAGGUCCCACACCAUGCAUCUGUUGUUGUCUACUGCCUCCCGUAUCAGUUUCGCACCCGUGAUGAUGGAGAAGGCACAUGUGAGUUACUCCAUCUUUCUCAGCUUUCACCCAGCCGAUGGUACACAUAGGUACGGAGGGGAUGUGUUGUCGUCGUCCAUUGUCCUGUAGUACAUCCAUCCUAUCAAACCGUGGUUAAUGGUUAUGCUACACACGUACCGAGGGGCGGUUUUCGGUGAUCUGUUACACUCUUUUAGUUCGUGCCAUGGUUAAUCUAUUCUUCUGAAACCUCCGAAGUUCCACGCUAUGUUUAUAACUACUCCCUCUGUUCCAAAUUACUCGUCGCAGAAAUAGAUGUAUUUAGAACUAAAAUACAUCUAGAUACAUUCAUAUUUUCGACAAGUAAUUGGAGUAAUUAAUUACGAACCAGUCGUCCUAAGUGCCGAGGCGUAGAGAUGGUAUGUUAAUUGCUUGUUGACUUGACAUAUUAUUUUUGGUUUUCAGGUCUGUGCCCCAGCCUGAUGCACCACCAAGGAAGAAGAAAAGUUUAGCUAGUAGUGAAGUAAGACCAUCGUCGUUCAGCUAGGGGAAAUAUUAAUGUAUUAUAGGACAAAAAAAGUACAGGUGUUGAUUAUUCUAGACAAAGAGUACAGGUGUUAGUGGAACUGAAGAAACGGCGUACGCGUGCUACAUCCAGAACGCUGGAGGCUGGAGCUGGACCCAUGCCGGGAACAAGAAACCCAAGCAAGAUGGAAGAGAAGAGAGGGAGGGGCGCACUCACCGGCGCAGAGACAGACGACCCACACGUAGAAGAAGUUGAGGUAGGGGAUGCCGGUCUUGCUCUUGUUGAUCUCGUCCAGCCUGCACCCUGGGCACCCCUCCUUGCAGAGCUUCCUCUCCCUCGCUGCUGCCAGCAAUGGCGCCGCCGCCGCCGCCGAAGACUCGUUUCUCUCGCCGGCGGCCAUUAUCUCCCUUCUCUCUGAUGAACAGGAAACGGGAUGCGGAGAUCAGCUCGGUCGACCUCUGCUUACGAGAAGUGAAGCAGAAAAACGAAAGGCGCCCGUUUACCUCUGCGGGAGUAAAUGGAGCAGUAAAGCGCACAAGGUAGGCGUUUAGGGUAGCGAGCAUCUGCUGCUUUUAUUAGUGCGAGUGUAGACGCGGGCGCGCCUUGUGGACUAUGGUGUGUUGUUUCUGCCGGGUGCGUGGGAUGGACCAGAGGGUUUGGUCCGGAAAAACCUAUAAGACGCACGCUUCGUCAUCUUGCCAAGCAAUCGCACACGGUUCACAAGCGAGCGAUGCCUGGGUCGGCCCGUUCACCUCUUCAUGGAUCCCGGUUUUAAGAAACCCCUAGCAAAAAAUGCCCGUGCGUUGCAACGGGUAAUGAAACUAUCAUCAUAGAAUUUCAUCAUCCCCUUUAUCCUUCCACCAUUGUUCUAUCAUCAUGAAAAUGCCCUUAUGAUUUCACCAUCAUCGUUGCAUGAGCCGCUCCAUAUCCUCGAUGCACUCAGGCAACAUGUGCAUAUCCGUGACGCUCAUGCUGCCCAGAUCCUUCACCUCCUCAUUUGUGACUAUCACAACUGCUUUCACAUCUUCUCCGGCUCGCCGUAGGCAUCGUAAGUGGCGGCGGCCUUUGGGUUGGCACAACCGGAACUACAGAAACUUAGUUUGGAAGGAGAGAGAGCGGCAAUGGGUAGAAAGCCAAGGGUUUGCGGGAUGGGAAGAUCACGCAUCACGUAGGGGUGUCGAUUGUGAUCGUUGCCAAUUGACUGCAGCCAUUGUUUCCUUUUUUGUGAAGAAAUUGAUGAUCGUUUGGUUUGAGAUAAAAACCAGGUGGGGUAACCGAGGACGACGUAUCUGAAUUUUAGGUAUGAGCAAUCAGGCUUGCCCCAGAAACAAUCCUACCAUUUUUUAACUCCUUGUGUUCACUUUUAUAAGACGUUGUACACAAUUCAGACAACACCUAAGACAUUUCAAUAUCAAAUAACUGAAACGUUUUAUAAAAAUGAACGGAGGGAGUAAUAGAAAAUAAUAACUUCCUUUCUACGUAAAUAGGAGAAUCGCGUCUGAAUCCAUCUAAAAAAAGAUUCACGUCAGCGUAUCAUUUUUUAAAUCAUGUUUAAAAAAAUGUUCGCGCUUAAAAAUAUUCAAAAUUCGAGUACAGUACCUCCUAGUUUUUAAAAAAUUGUUCAUGUUUUACAAAAAGUCCAAAUUCAAAAACUUGUUCCUUUUUAAAAAAUGAUCGAGUUUAAAUUUUGUGUUCACAGGAAGUAUUCACGUAUAUUUUAGGAUACAGUGCUGCUGCUUGUAUUGUUUAAUAAAUCAAGAUUUGGAAACUGACACGUUGAAGUUCGCGCUUAAAAAUAUUCAAAAUUCGAGUACAGUACCUCCUAGUUUUUAAAAAAUUGUUCAUGUUUUACAAAAAGUCCAAAUUCAAAAACUUGUUCCUUUUUAAAAAAUGAUCGAGUUUAAAUUUUGUGUUCACAGGAAGUAUUCACGUAUAUUUUAGGAUAUACAGUGCUGCUGCUUGUAUUGUUUAAUAAAUCAAGAUUUGGAAACUGACACGUUGAAGUUGUCUAGUGUAUAGGCUAGCAUGGCCUAGUCACCUACGCCAGCUCCACGGUACGAUUCUUGAGAAGAGCGCACUUUGGUGGUGUGGUAUAGCUCCACCAAUGGGCCGGCCCAUCUCGGCUUGGUAUGGCGACGUACCAAUUUUUGUGACAGUUUUUGUCGACGGACAGACUAAAUUUUGUACCACCUCGAAUAGCCACAAUUUAAAAUAUUGAACGGCAUCUAAGCGGGACGAAAUUAAGAAUAUCACCUUGGUUUAUUAUUAGGUAGGUAUAGAUAUAGAUAUAGAUAUAGAUAUAGGGGGUUCCUAGCUGGUUUUUUCCGGUAUUGGGAAUCUUCUAGGAGGUUCCUGAACCAUUUUUCUUGUCUCUGUUUCUUUUUAUAUUCUAUUUUUCCUGGUCCUUUUUUUUCUACUUCUUACUGUUUCUUUUUAUUUUAUUUUUCUUUUUGUUUUUAUUUUCAUUUUAAUUUUUUUCAAAAAUGUUCAUGUGUUUAAAAAUUGUUCGCAGUUUUUCAAAACUGUUUGUGUUUUAAAAUUUUAUACAGGAGUUUCAAAAUAUGGUCAUGUUUCCAAAAACUGAUCAGGUUUUUAUUCUGUUCGGGAGUUUGAAUUUUUUUCAUGUUUUGAAAAAACUUUUGCGUUUCCAAUUUUUUUUCCUAUUUUCAAUUUUGUUUCCAAACUUUCAAAAAGUUUCAAUAUUUAAAUUUCUUUGGUAUUUUCAAAAAAUGUUCACGUUUUCAAAUUUUAUCAAGAGUUUCAAAAAAAUUAUACAUAUUAAAAAACAUGAUUUUGAAAAAAUGUUCACAUUCUUAGAGAAUUUUUGGGUGAAAACUGUCCACAUUUCAUUAAACAUUCAUUUUACAAAUAAUCAAAUUUUUCAUAAACAUGAAUAAUUUUUUAAAUCUUUUUCAAAAACGCGAAGAAUUUCUAAAGUUUUUGCAAAAAAAUGAUAAAAUACGAUAAAUUCUAUAGCACGAUCAAUUUUCGAAAUUUGCAAAAAAAAUGGAACACAAACAUUGUUUUUUGAAUUUGUGAACAAAUCUCAAGUUCGAGAACAUUUUUUGGAAUUUUGAACAAAAAAAUUCAAAAACACGGAAAGAAAAGAAAAAGAAAAAGGAAAUGUUUGGAUCUGACGUUGGUGUUGUUCUUAUAGACUUGCGCUGCAAUGUAAUCAAUACCUUUCAUUAUGUACGGUGGCUAGCAUGGAUAGCUUGUUUGCUGGAGGUCUCGUGAUCAAUCGUCGGUCUACAAUUUUUUUUGCGAAUUUAUAGUCGCUACACUGGUCGAUCGCCGCUCGCUUCGCUCGUUCACCAGUGGGCCGGCCCAAUCGGGGCGUGUGUGCGUUUGUCCAACAGUGUGCCGCAUAAGCAUCAGAUAGGAGCUCCCGUCGUAUUGUCAAAGGUGAGACUCGAGCUGGGCCAGUCUAACGCGGCCUGGGCCCAUUGUGUUCGAGCCACAAAAAGGCGGCUGGGCUGGCCCGGUGUGCCUUUGGGUCGUGUUGUGCUUAAACCUUACGAGUGGCGUGCCGAAAAGGUAAUCAGUAAUGUUGGGCAGCCCGUCUCUAGCAUCACGCUAGUCAUAAACGUUUAGUGAUGUGAUUCCGGCACACGUCACUGCUAGCACAUAUACUAGCGGUGUGCCCUGUAAUGUUGUAGUAUUAGUGACGUGCACUUGUAAUCGCAUGUCAUUCAUAUUUUUUUGGCCCAAGACAAAACUACCAUGACAAUACAUUUUGUUGUCAUGAUAGCAAUAUUUAACAUCUUAAUUAGUGUUUUCUGUCAUUGCAACAUUUUUAGCCAAAGGGCUCAUUUUUGCUGCCAUGACAACAUUGUUUAGCCAUUGUUGUUGUCAUGACAACAAUUUUUAAAUUUAAAAUCAGUAUAUAUGAUGUCUAAACAGGUACUCUUAAAUUUAACACAUCAACACUAGUAGCAUGCAUAUAACAUGAACAUGUGCUACUAUAACAAUUUUGAACACAUGUUCAACACUUCGACCAUAAUUAAAGACGUUUAGAUUUGACUAUAACGUGUUGGGAAACGUAGUAGAAAAUGAAACAUGUCGUCAUAAUAUCAAUCAGGAACGCUACAAAGUUGCAAUAACGGUUUAGAUCGGAUCAUUACCAACUCCGAGUUGCAGAAGAAGAAGACAAGUUGGUGUACAUCGAACCUGAAGUCCCUUGAACCGUUCAUGAAUAAUCCCUCGAACCGAAGACCAAAAGCACGGCCUCUCCAUAGAUUGCAAGCGUACAUGCUUAACGAUCCGGCAGUGCUUCGCCGGCCACAGCUAGUCAUUGCCAUAGAAUUAGAGGAGAGAGAAACGAACCUCAUGAGGCUUCUCUAUUAUGAGGAAUUAUAGAGAACUAGAACUAGAUCUUGUCUACAUCAAACUAAACAAGAACUAGAACAAGAGAGAACUAGAGGAGGCUCCAAAACAUGUGUUCUAGGGCUAGCCCUGCCCCUCUAUUUAUAUGUUGAGCCCUGGGGUCGCAACUUGGGGAGGGGGCCUCCAAAAUUCGGUUUGGAACACAAGGAAGAGUCCUCCUUGGCUUCCAACAUGAAAAGCCAAGGUUCCUUUCAUUUUCGGAAACGCCACGGACCACAGCAUCUGGCCCAAGGCCAAACGGCAGGGACCCUGGCUUUUGGCCCCUGUUCUCCACAAAAACUCCUUUUGCAUCGACCUAGAUCCUUGUGGGCCUUACCCCUUGGUCUAGCCAAUGUUUCCUCGCACCAGGGACCCUUUGGAUUUAUCCGGAAGCUUCUGUAACCUUCUGGACAUCACCAAAAGUCCCUAGGACCUUCCCGGGACCUUGCAAAAACAUUUCUGGAAAACAUCUGAAACUCUUUCGGAACUCUCUUGAAACUAUUUCUUAUGUUCCCAAAAUUAUUCUGAGAAUAUUUUCUCAUAACUCUCACUCCACUAAAACUCAACAGACCGUGAUUCCCUUAAACUUGUGACCUUGUAGGUUCGGUAAAACAUAAACAUGAACAAAACCCCUUUCGUUCAAUGACCAAUAGCAGAACCGUGGACAUCCAUAUUGAUCCCUAUGAAUGCAGGAAUGAUAUUCGAGUGAAUCUUUGGUUAACAUGUGAUAUUCCCUUUGCUCCAUGAUACUUUACAAAACUCGAGGUGAGAUAUAUCGGUAUCAUCUUGAGUCAUUCUCAUGCUCACUAUACCGGUCUCCUUGUUACCGGUUUUGUUCUUUCUCGUUGAAAUGUUCCAGCAUCCCCGUGACCUAGUCACUUGUGUCUGGCCAGCCGAUGAUGGAUGUCAUCAUGAUACGUCUCCAACGUAUCUAUAAUUUUUUAUUGUUCCAUGUUAUUAUAUUAUCAAUCUUGGAUGUUUUAUAUGCAUAUCAUUUUUUGGGACUAACCUAUUAACCUAGUGCCCAGUGCUAGUUGCUGUUUUUUUGCUUGGUUUUGGCUUUUUAGAAAAACAAUAUCAAACGAAGUCGAAACAAAAAAAUCUUUGGAUUAAUUUUUUCUGGACCAGAAGGGACCUUCGAAGCUUCAGGAGGAGACCAAACGAGAUAUGAGAGAGCCACAAGCUCGAGGGGUGCGCCCCCUGAGCUUAUGGGCCCUACAUAGCUCCCUUUGACCUAAUUCCACUUCUAUAAAUUCUCAAAUAUUCCCAAACCAACGGAGAGCCACCCGAAACACUUUUUCCGCCGCAGCAAGCUUUUGUUCUUUCGCAAUCCCAUCUGGAGGCCUUUUCCGGUACUCUGCCGGAGGGGGAAUCGAUCACGGAGGGAUUCUACAUCAUCCUUGCCGCCUUCCGAUGAUGCGUGAGUAGUUCACCAGAGACCUACGGGUCCAUAGCUAUUAGCUAGAUGGCUUCUUCUUCUCUCUCUUUGGUGUUCAAUACCAUGUUCUCCUUGAUGUCCUUCGAGUUCUAUUCGAUGUAAUCUUCUUUUGUGGUGUGUUUGUUGGGAUCCGAUUAAUUGUGGGUUUAUGAUCUGAAUAUUCAUGAGAAGUAAUUGAGUCUUUUCUGAACUUUAUAAUGCAUGAUUUUUAUAGCUUUCUAUUCCUCUCCGAUCUAUCAGUUUGGUUUGGCCAACUAGAUUAAUUUAUCUUCAGUGGAAGAGGUUCUUUGUGAUGGGUUCAAUCUUGGGGUGCUCUAUAUCCCAGUGAUAGAAGGGGACAACACCGGUACAACAAUCUGCUAUACAAAUGGUUUUUAACCCCUUUCCGUGACAGAGUUAUAAACUGUCGCCUUGCAUGUGUGUACAAUAAGGGGGUCCUUCCCACAUGACCCAAAAACCGUCGAGGAUAGGCCCUCCAGUCACUCAUGCUGGAAAAAAUGAGCUCAUGUGCGUUCGGGCUAGCCAUCGCAUACAAUUAUAUAGGCCGAAUCGUUUCCAUUCGUAAGUACAUCCCACACAGUGAGUCCCAGAGAAACGUUUCCGCACGUAUGUACAUCACACACAGUGAAUCCCGGAUGAACGUUUUCAUUCAUAUGUACAUCCCACACAAUGAAUCCGAGACAAACGUUUCCGUCUGUUUGCACAUCCUACACAGUGAAUCCCAAACAAACAUUUCCGUUCGUAUCUACAUCGCACAUAGUUUUUUGUAUAGCCUCGUGUGUGAUAGGUGUAACGAUCACACACGCUCUGCCUCCGUUAACCAUUUUAUUUAUUCAAGUAUAUCACACAUGAUUCGAUGAAGAAAACUAUAUGGCAUUGGGCUAUCCAUCACACACGCUUUUACUACUACAACCAUUUGUAAAGUUCAUGACUCUUUUAGCAGGUUUAUUAGCUUACUAUUAAUAAUUCCAGUAAUAAGCAAAUUUACAUUACAUAUCGAACAGUUGUUCGCCAAUUUCAUAUCAGGCACAUAAAUAUAUUUUAACAUCACAGUACGAUAGCUACGUGAAAACAACAUAGUACAUCAUAUAACUAGUUCACCUUCAUAAGCACAAUAUUAGAACAAUAUAUUUGUUUCCCUAAUCGACUGAUGCAUGAUCAACCAAGUUCGUCUUCUCCACCUCUGCUUUCAGUUCAGUAAGAACCUGUUUUGCACUGACCAACUGGGAAAGUUCCUCCUCCUUUGCCAACACCAUCUUAGCAAAGUCUAAUUUAAAAAUUAUGAGCUCAUUCUCAAUCUUCCUCUUUUUUUCCCGUAUCUUGAAAUAUUCUUCAGCGUUGACAACACUUUCUCUAUGCCUAUCUUUGUUCUCUUCCUCAUACAUGCUCCAGAGCUUUGCGAGGCACAUCUUCAAAGACUAUGGCCAUUCUUGAUCAACCCACUCUAGGUAAGAACACUUCGGUUCAUCCUAUAAUAUUUAAAAAUAAAUCAGUAACAAUUCUAGGGAAAAUGGGUUUGUAAAAACAUAAAAAAUCACCACAUACAUAUUCUGAAAAGAUGAAGAAAUAUGUUAAUUAUGACAUAUCUUCAAAAAGAUCGAUGUGCAAAUGAAUUAAUUGCUACUGAGACAACAACCAAAUUCAGAAACAUCAUAAGCUAUAAUUAACUGCAACACGCUACAAGUUCUUAAUCAUGUACUAUAAAUAACAAAUUGAACAUUUUAUGAGGAAGCUAAAUAUAACUGCAACAACAUAGCGAAAGUGUUUGGAUGACAUCAAAUUGAUACUAACACGUGUGUACAUGCACAAAUUUAGCAACAUAGAACUAAUACCACUAAGGCUGUCCACUACAUUUACCAAAACUGGUGUCAAAACAAUUGUUCUACAUUUGGCACCGGUGCCCUGUGAUGACCCACAAGUAUAGGGGGUCUAUCGUAGUCCUUUCGAUAAGUAAGAGUGUCGAACCCAACGAGGAGCAGAAGGAAAUGACAAGUGGUUUCAGCAAGGUAUUCUCUGCAAGCACUAAAUUUUUUGGUAACAGAUAGUUGUGUGAUAAGAUAAUUCGAAACGGGUAACAAGUAACAAAUGUAACUAAGGUGCAACAAAGUGGCCCAAUCCUUUUUGUAGCAAAGGACAAGUCUGGACAAACUCUUAUAUAAAACAAAGCGCUCCCGAGGACACAUGGGAAUUAUUGUCAAGUUAGUUUUCAUCAUGGUCAUAUGAUUCGCGUUCGUUAUUUUGAUAAUUUGAUAUGUGGGUGGACUGGUGCUUGGGUGUUGUCCUUACUUGUACAAGCCUCCCACUUAUGAUUAACCCCUAUCGCAAGCAUCCGCAACUACGAAAGAAGAAUUAAGAUAAAUCUAACCAUAGCAUGAAACAUGUGGAUCCAAAUCAGCCCCUUACGAAGCAACGCAUAAACUAGGGUUUAAGCUUUUGUCACUCUAGAAACCCAUCAUCUACUUAUUACUUCUCAAUGCCUUCCCCUAGGCCCAAAUCAUGGUGAAGUGUCAUGUAGUCGACGUUCACAUAACACCACUAGAGGAAAGAGAACAUACAUCUCAUCAAGAUAUCGAACGAAUACCAAAUUCACAUGAUUACUAUAACAAGACUCCUCCCAUGUCCUCACGAACAAACGUAACUACUCGCAAAGCAUAUUCAUGUUCAUAAUCAGAGGGUUAUUGAGUAUCAUUAAGGAUUUGAACAUAUGAUCUUCCACCAAAUAUACCAACUAGCAUCAACAAUCAACACUACUAGCAACCCACAUGUACCAAUCUGAGGUUUUGAGACAAAGAUCCAAUACAAGAGAUGAACUAGGGUUUGAGAGGAGAUGGUGCUGGUGAAUAUGUUGAUGGAGAUUGCCCCCCUCUCGACGAGAGGGUCAUUGGUGAUGACGAUGGCUUCGAUUUCCCCCUCCGGGAGGGAAGUUUCCCUGGUGGAACAGCUCCGCCGGAGCCCUAGAUUGCUUCUGCCCGGGCUUCGCCUCGAGACGGCGGCGCUUCGUCUCGAAAGCUUCCUUCUGAUUUUUUUUCAGGUCAACAGACAUCGUAUAGCAGAAGAUGGGCACCGGAGGCCUGCCAGGGGGCCCACAAGCCACAGGGCCGCGCCCAGGGGGGUAGGGCGUGCCCCAGACUUGUGGCCUCCUGGUGGGUCCCCUCUGGUAUUUUCUUUGCCCAAUAUUUUUUAUAUAUUCCAAAAUAAUUCUUCGUAAAUUUUUAGGACUUUGGAGUUGUGCGGAAUGGGUCUCUCAGAUUUGCACCCUUUUCGGUCCAGAAUUCUAGUUGCCGGCAUUCUCCCUCUUCAUGUAAACCUUGUAAAAUAAGGGAGAACAGGCAUAAGUAUUGUAUCAUAAUGUGUAAUAACAACCCAUAAUACAAUAAAUAUCAAUAUAAAAGCAUGAUGCAAAAUGGACGUAUCAACUCCCCAAGCUUAGACCUCGCUUGUCCUCAAGCGAAAGCCGAAAUCGAUAAAUAUGUCCACAUGUUUAGAGAUAGAGGUGUCGAUAAAAUAAAAUACGGACAUGAGGGCAUCAUGAUCAUCCUUAGAACAACAACAUAUAUUGACAUAUAAUUUCUUACGCUAAAGCGACAAUUUGUUCACAAGGUAAAGUAUGAAUUAGAAACUUUAUUGAUAACCAACAAACUAUGAUCUCAGUCAUUGAAGCAAUUGCAAUUUAUCAUAAUAUCAGAAAAGAGUCAAUGUAAGAGCUUUUGUAUAGCAAGUACACAUACUCAACCAUCUCUUAGUCUUUCAUAAUUGCUAACACUCACGCGAUACUUAUGAGUUCAAAGCCUCAGUCGGACACAGAGAAAGAUAGGGGCUUAUAGUUUCGCCUCCCAACCUUUUACCUCAAGUGUAAUGUCAACAAUAAUACUUUAUGAUAACCUACGUCCGAGUGGAUAUAUAUAUAUAUAUAUAUAUAUAUAUAUAUAUAUAUAUCUGGAUCUUCCCCAACAUAUAGUGCUUGCCAAAAGGAAAAAUUGUGAAAAGGAAAGGUGAAUAUCACCAUGACUCUUGUAUAGAGGUAGAAAGUAAAAGUAAAAGAUAGUCCCUUCGCAGAGGGAAGCAGAGGUUGUCAUGCGCUUUUAUGGUUGGAUGCACAAAGCCUUAAUGCAAAAGAACGUCACUUUAUAUUGCCGCUUCUGAUAAAGAACUUUAUUAUGUUGUCCGUCGCUUUUAUUUCUUCCAUAUCACAAGUUCGUAUACAACUUAUUUUCUUCACACUAAAAUAUCAUACAUAUUUAGAGAGUAAUUUUAUUUCUUGCACCGAUGACAACUUACUUGAAGGAUCUUACUCAAUCCAUAGGUAGGUAUGGUGGACUCUCAUGGCAAAACUGGUUCAAGGGAUGUUUGGAUGCACAAGUAGUAUCUCUACUUGGUGCAAAAGAUUUGGCUAGCAUAAGAGGGAAACCAAGCUCAACAUGUUGGAGGAUCCAUGAUAAUAUAACUUCUAUUCGGAUAUAAGAAAACACAACCCAUUAUGUUGUCUUCCUUGUCCAACAUCAACUUUUUAGCAUGUCAUAUUUUAAUGAGUGCUCACAAUCACAAAAGAUGUCCAAGAUAAUAUAUUUAUAUGUGAAACCUCACUUUCUUUAUCACUUCCUAUUAAUUGCAACAAUGACCAAAACUAUGUUUGUCAUCUCCCAACAAAUUUUAAUCAUCAUACUCUUUAUACGUGAAGUCAUCACUCUCCAUAAGAUCAAUAUAUAAUCUUUUUGCUUCUUUUAUUAUUUUUCUUUUUCUCAAGAUCAUAGCAAGAAAGCAAAGCCCUCACUCAAAACUACUCUUUAUUAUAUAACUGUCACGUCCAAUAUGCGACACUAUCCUAAAGAGACUCGAAGGUCCCACCAAGGAUAGAACCGCAUAUUGACACGCUUCUGCAAGGUGGAUAUCAUUACAUCAAACCAUUACAUAAUAGAUGGGGAUACAUACCAAAGGCAUACAAUGCCACAAGAAUACAUCAAUACAUCAUACAUAGAUCAACACCCGACUACGGAUGAAACACAAACAAAAGCUCUAACAACAUCCACCCUGCUAGCCCAGGCUGCCGACCAGGAACCUAUCCCUCAAACGAAGAAGUGGAACAAGAACUCCAACACAAUAAAAAUCGCUCUCACAUCAUGAUCAUCGCAGAACCUGUACCUGCAACUGUUGGUGUAGUAAUCUGUGAGCCACGAGGACUCAGCAAUCCCAUUACCAUGGGUAUCAAGACUAGCAAAGCUUAAUGGGUAUGGAAAAGGAUAAGUGGUGAGGUUACAGCAGCGACUAAGCAAUGUAUGGUGGCUAACUUACGAAUAUAAGCGUAAGAUGAGAAUCUACGCAAACGGUCGCAAACUAGUAACGAUCAAUAAGUGAUCCUGAACUACUUACGUUCAAACAUAACCCAACCGUGUUCUCCUCUCGAACCUCCCGAAAAGAGACAGUCACGGCUACGCAACACGGUUGGUGUAUUUUAAUUGAGUCCUCUACAACCGGAUAUUAACAAAUUCCCAUCUGCCACAUAAUCGCGGGCACGGCUUUUGAAAUAUUAAACCCUGCAGGGGUGUCCCAACUUAGCCCAUGACAAGCUCACGAUCCGCGGAGACAAUCCUCCAUCGCAGGACACCCCAUCAGACUCGGAAUCCCAGUGCACAAGACAUUUCGACAAUGGUAAAACAAGUCCAGCAAGACCUCCUGGUGUGCCGACACCCUGAUAGUAGCCGCGUGUAUCUCGUCUCAGGCCACGACCGGAUGAGCACUACGUACAGCAACCGAAAACCCCGGGUGAAGGGGUGGCACCGCAAGUGGCUCUGUUUGGGACCAACACCAUCAGCGCUGGCCCCGCCUUGUAUGUAGAAAAUCCUCGGGUUCGCGACGCCCUAUGCCAAUUAAUUAUUAGGUUCAAGUAUUAUUACGGCAAAUGUUAAAACCAAUGUUGGGCCUUGCUGGAAGAGUUUUAUUCAAAGCUAAACAUCGAGAGGGUCCCAUACCCCUCAUCGUGUUAGGGACGCAAAAUCAAGGAACAUAACACCAGUAUGACGGAAACUAGGGCAACAAGAGUGGAACAAAACACCAGGCAUAAGGCAGAGCCUUCCACCCUUUACCAAGUAUAUAGAUGCAUUAAUUAAAUAAGAGAUAUUGUGAUAUCCCAUGAUAUCCACGACCCGACAUAAAACAACCUGCAUUGCACCUGCAACUAGCAACGCUAUAAGAGGGGCUGAGCAAAGCGGUAACAUAGUCAAACAACGGUUUGCUAGGAUGGUGAAAAGGUUAGAGGCUGUUUCAUGGCAUAUUGGGAGGCUUGAUAAACAAGUGGUAGGUAGCGCGACAUAGCGAUAGCAUCGAGACAACUAGCAUAGCAAAGAUAGUAGUGAGAGCCAAGGUGACGGUCAUCUUGCCUGAAAUCCCGCUAGGAAGGAGAACGAGUCCAUGAAUAAGACGAGCCAGCGUAGUCGAACGGAUCCUCACAAUCGCAACGUGACCGGAACUAUCAAGAAGAAGUACAACCGGAAAGAAGCAAACAACAUGGUAAACAACCAUCACAUAAACAUGGCAUGAUGCACAAUCAAGUAUGAUGCAUGUCCGGUUUAAUGAGGCAUGGCAUGGCAAUUUGCAACAAACAAAACUACAAGUUAAGUGGAGCUCAAUAUGCAACGAGUUGAAUAUUGGAGAAACACCACAUUCAAUUAUUUAGUUCACUCUCGUUUAAGCUACUCCACAAUAUUAAAUGUUAUAAAACAUGGCAAGGGUGAAGCAUAAAGAAACUAUCUAUUUAGGCAAGUUUAAAUGGGGCCGGAAAUAACAAACAACAAUUUCGGAAAAUCCCCAUAUGUCAUUUAGCAAUUGAUGCAAACAAUAAUUUUAAACAUUUUAAAUGUUGUUAUCAUGAUGUGGAUGACAUAUACAAGUUACAUGCAAUUUUUAUGAAAAUGUUGACAUGAAGGAUGAUAUAGAGCAUUUGGUCACAAUGGCGGAACGAAAGGGUGCCACGGCAACAUAUCGGUUCCGGUAACUUGAUUGAGAUACCGAUGCAAAAGAGAAGUGUGCGGAUGUGUGGAACACGCAAGAGAUGGUGGGGCGUUCCCGGUAACCGGGUGUCCCACAUGACGGUGGCAAGGAAACGAGGAACGUGCAAGGAUCAAUUCGGACACGAUUCGAACAUGAGCAACUCAUACAUCAAAAUCAUUCGCUCACGGAUGGUCGUCUUGGGGUUAUACCUUCGAAGCAUGCGUUUUGGGACGGACGGGUUCGGUGGGAUGUAGUUGUUCACGGGUUGUCGUGGGAAGUAGUCAUACACGACGAUGGUAGUGGAAGUAGUGGUUCACGUUCUAGAAGCGGCUCAUGAUGAUUGUAGUCAAACUUGGCGAUCCGAAGGGCUACUUGGCGAACAACGGUCGUCGUGGUACUUGUCGGAUCAUGAAGUCAAACUUGAAGGUCUUGUCGGAUCGACAGCGACAGUGGUCGUACAUGGUUCGUAGAUGUUCGGACCAUCUUGUUCUUGGCGGAAGAGAACACAUGGCGACAGAGAGGUACGUGCCGGCGGUAGUCGAACUUGGCGGGCGUCAUGUAGUCGUACACUUCGAGGGGCUUGGCAUGUCCAAAACAUAGCAGCACAAGGUCCCGGUUGAGGUCGUGUAGUUGAACUUGAUGGACAUCCGAGUCUUGCAGGGCUCUCGUUGAUGAAGGGUUUUUGGAGCUGCGGUCUUGGCGCGCAGCGAACAACAAUGCGUGCAUGCCAACAGAGAAGGAAGCAUAGUCGGCCGGUGGUGUGGGACGACGCCGGGGUCGUGGUGGUCUAGCAAGGAGCCACCCCAUGGCCUUGAGGUGGAUGGCCGACCAUGGCAAGCAGGAGGCGGGGCAAGGUGGAUCGGGACGAGGGCGCAGCGCGUGUGUGGAGAGGAGUUCAGCAGUAGGGCGAGGCAAGGGGCGACAGAGCGCCGUGGAUCGGGCAAAAGAGGGCCAUCGGGAGGCGGUGGAUCGGGAGCUUCUCCUGAUCGGGAUGAGGAUGGAGGGGAUCGGGGCUCCUCAUCCCUGCCUGUGGCGGCGCGAGGGAGAGAGUGGAGGGAGGAAGAGAUCGGGAGCACAGAGAGGAUCAAGGCUAGGGUUAAGAGGAGGUUGGAUGGGCCUUGGGCCAUUUCGAUGGAGAGGAAAAAGGCCAAGAGGUUUUCUCGGCUGGUUAAGGAAAAAUAAAAGAAGGGUCUCCUUUCUCUUCUAAAGGAAAAGAAAAGAGAAGCCAACUAAUUUAUUUGGAGGGCCAAAUAACUCCAGGUUAAGCCGAAAUUUGGCAUGUGGCCUCUUCAAAAUAUUUCGAAGCUCCACAACAAAAUUGGACAAAAGGGAGAAGGAUCAAGGAUUUUAAAUAUUCAGAAACGAAAGGAACUUUGAAUUGCAAGUGGGUUGUGGUUAAUUCCAAAUUAACGGAAUAUUUCUAAUAGCUCCCUAAAUAUUGGGAUGAUACGUUAUAAAGAGAAAUCACCAUGCGAAUUCCCUCGAUUUAAAUAGAUCAACGAUCUAUGCAAUUUAUUUAGCUGAGUUUUUAAAAAGGGGAUGCAAUGCAAAAGAUGCCAUGAUGAAUGCAACAAACAAAAUAAAUCACACGACGACAACGAAGAACAUGGAAGGCUUCUGGAGCGUCGGUCUCGGGUCGUUACAAUAACUCACGGACUCGAUUACAUAGGUAGAUCACAAAGCAAAACUCAAAGACUAAAUCAUACUAACAAGUUUGUUCUACUAAACCAAGAUAUAACCAAAAGGAUCGAACUAAGAAAAACGAUAAAGGUAAAGAUGUGAUGAUGAUACGAUACCGGGACACCUCCCCCAAGCUUGGCAGUUGCCAAGGGGCGUGCCCAUACCCAUAUAUUUAGAUCUCUUUCUUCGGAGGUGAUGAUGAUGGAGUUGAUGAUGUUGUAGGCUUGUCCUCCAUCUUCCAAGGCAUAGGUUCACCAUCGUAAAAGGAUGAACGAGCCUCCGGGAUCCUCAAAUCUACAGCCAAACUCAUCCUCUUAAAUCUGUAUUCAUACUCACAGUUUUGGUUCCGCAGGUCAUAGAUCUGGGCUUGGAGAUGCUCGAUUUUCUCAAGAAGCUUGAAGAUGGCCUCCCCGAUGUUCUUGGCAUCCAGCUUGUGUCACGGGUAAAUUCCAUGAUUGGCGUUGAGCCCACGUUCCACCAUCCCUUGGCACUUGAAGACUUGCUGAUCCAUUGCUUCAAGCCUUGUCUCCACGCUUCCGGUCUUCUUUGGCCCUUGAACAUCACUGAUGUGCAGCACCCCCUCACGCAUCUCAAUGGUUUGAGGGUGUUGUAGCACCUCCGCAAGGUAGGGGUUGAUGACCUUCUUGAAGAACCUGUCCUUCGGAGCGCUUGGGGAUGUCAUAGCGAUCUAGAUCUGUCAGAAAAAUUGCUCGAAACAAGAACAGAGGCUUUUGCCGUGGUACGGUGGUCAAAACCUUCGGGAGAUUACAUAAUGAAUUUUUACCGACCAAAAGAAGUGUUAUGCAAGAAAAUGGAGUCCAGAGGGCACACGAUGUGGCCACAAGCCAGGGAGGCGCGCCCCCAGGGCUUGUCACCUCCUCGUGCACUUUUCGGACUACUUUAAAUUUUCCUAAUUUUUUAAAUAUUCCAAAACGGAGUAAAAUUGCCAUUGGAAAAGUUUUGGAGUCGGUUUACUUACCGUACCACAUACCUAUUCCUUUUCAGAGUCUAAAACAUUCUGGUAAGUCUCCCUUAUGUACUCCUCUGGUCUUAUGGUAUUAAUUAUAUUGGUUUCAACAUUUAUUGGAGUACCUGAGAUAUAAUGUUUGAUUCUUUGACUGUUUACCACCUUUGGGUUGGUCCCUUCGGAGUUGUUGGUCUUGAUAGCACCGGAACGGUAAACCUCCUCGAUAAUGUAAGGACCUUCCCAUUUAGAGAGAAGCUUUCUUGCAAAAAAUCUUAAACGAGAAUUGUAUAGCAAGACAUGGUCACCUACAUUAAAUUCAUGCUUUUGUAUCCUUUUGUCAUGCCAUCUUUUAACUUUUUCUUUAAACAACUUGGCAUUUUCGUAGGCUUGAGUUCUCCAUUCAUCAAGUGAACUGAUCUCAAAUAACCUCUUUUCACCGGCAAGUUUGAAAUCAUAGUUGAGCUCUUUAACAGCCCAAUAAGCUUUAUGUUCUAGUUCAAGAGGUAAGUGACAUGCUUUUCCAUAAACCAUUUUAUACGGGGACAUACCCAUAGGGUUCUUAUAAGCAGUUCUAUAAGCCCAUAAUGCAUCAUCAAGUUUCUUAGACCAAUUCUUUAUGGAUCUAUUAACACAGUCUUUUGCAAAAUCAAUUUUAUUUCUCGAUUACUCAAUUCUACUUGACCACUAGACUGAGGAUAAUAUGGAGAUGCAAUUCUAUGAUUAACAUCAUACUUAGCAAGCAAUUUAUGGAAAGCACCAUGAAUAAAAUGUGAACCACCAUCGGUCACCAAAUAUCUAGGGACUCCAAACCUCGGGAAAAUAACUUAUUUAAGCAUUUUAAUAGAAGUGUUAUGAUCAACACUACUAGUUGGAAUAGCUUCUACCCACUUAGUAACGUAAUCAACAAGAACUAAAAUAUGUGUAUACCCAUUAGAGGAAGGAAAGGGUUCAUAUAAUCAAAGCCUCAAACAUCGAAUGGUUCAAUAACAAGUGAAUAAUUCAUAGGCAUUUCCUGACACCUACUAAUAUUACCAAUUAUUUGACAUUCAUCACAAGACAAGACAUACUUACGAGCAUCUUUGAAAAGAGUAGGCCAAUAAAAACUAGAUUGUAAUACCUUGUGUACAGUUCUAUCUCCAGCAUGGUGUCCACCGUAGGCUUCGGAGUGACACUUGCGUAGGAUCUGUUCCUGUUCAUGCUCAGGUACACAGCGUCUAAUAACACCAUCUACUCCUUCUUUACAAAGGUGUGGGUCAUCUCAAAAGUAAUGUCUUAAAUCAUAGAAAAACUUUUUCUUUUGCUAGUAUGUGAAAUUAGGUGGUAUAAAUUUAGCAGCAAUGUAAUUAGCAUAAUCAGCAUACCAUGGAGCCCUACAAGAAGCUAUUAUGACAGCUAGUUGUUCGUCCGGAAAGCUAUCAUCAAUAGGUAGUGGGUCAUCAAGAACAUUCUCUAACAUAGACAAGUUGUCUAGUACGGGGUUCUCAGCAUCCUUUCUAUCAAUAAUAUGCAAAUCAAAUUCUUGUAGUAAGAGAACCCAUCUAAUAAGUCUAGGUUUAGCAUCCUUCUUUUCCAUAAGGUAUUUAAUAGCAGCAUGAUCGGUGUGAACAGUUACUUUGGAAUCAACAAUAUAAGAUCUGAACUUAUCACAAGCAAAGACAAUUGUUAAAAUUCUUUUUCAGUAGUAGCAUAAUUUCUUUGAGCACUGUCUAGAGUUUUACUAGCAUAAUGAAUAACAUUCAAUUUCCUAUCAACUCUUUGUCCUAGAACAGCACCAACAUCAUAAUCACUAGCAUCGCACAUAAUUUCAAAGGGUAGGUUCCAAUCAAGUGGUUGAAUAAUAGGUGCAGAAAUUAAGGCUUUCUUAAGUAUUUCAUGGGCUUCUACACAAUCAUCAUCAAAAACAAAUGGAACAUCUUUUUGCAAAAUAUUAGUAAGAGUCCAUUUUUGAGAAGUCUUUAAUAAAUCUCCUAUAGAAACCAGCAUGACCAAGGAAACUUCUUAUACCUUUGAUAUCUUUAGGACACAACAUCUUUUCAAUAGCAUCAACUUUAGCUUUAUCCACUUCAAUACCUCUUUCUGAAAUUUUAUGCCCCAAGACAAUACCUUCAUUAACCAUAAAGUGGCACUUCUCCCAAUUCAAGAUGAGAUUAGUUUCUUCACAUCUCUGCAAAACUCGAUCAAGGUUGCUUAAGCAAUCAUCAAAAGAAGUAUCGUAAAUGGAGAAAUCAUUCAUCAAAACCUCAAGAAUCUUUUCACAAAAGUCAGAGAAUAUAGAAGUCAUACAUCUUUGAAAGGUAGCAGGUACAUUGCAUAAACCAAAAGGCAUACGUCUAUAAGCAUAGGUACAGAAAGGGCAAGUAAAAGUAGUUUUUUCUUGAUCCUCUUGUGCCACGGGUAUUUGAGAGAAACCAGAAUAACCAUCUAGAAAGCAAAAGUGUGCAUGUUUGGAUAGUUGAUACGUCUCCGUCGUAUCUACUUCUCCAAACACUUUUGCCCUUGUUUUGGACUCUAACUUGCAUGAUUUGAAUGGAACUAACCCGGACCGACGCUAUUUUCAGCAGAAUUUCCAUGGUGUUAUUUAUGUGUAGAAACAAAAGUUCUCGGAAUGACCUGAAACUCCACGGAGAUUAUUUUUGGAAAUAAUAAAAAAUAUUGGCGAAAGAAUCAAGGCCAGGGGGCCCACACCCUGUCCACGAGGGUGGGGGGCGCGCCUGCCCCCCUGGGCGCGCCCCCUGCCUCAUGGGCCCCCUGGAGCUCCACCAACCUCAACUCCAACUCCAUAUAUUCGUGUUCGGGGAGAAAAAAAUCAGAGAGAAAGAUUCAUCGCGUUUUACGAUACGGAGCCGCCGCCAAGCCCUAAACCCUCUCGGGAGGGCUGAUUUGGAGUCCGUUCGGGGCUCCGGAGAGGGGAAUCCGUCGCCGUCGUCAUCAUCAACCAUCCUCCAUCACCAAUUUCAUGAUGCUCACCGCCGUGCGUGAGUAAUUCCAUCGUAGGCUUGCUGGACGGUGAUGGGUUGGAUGAGAUUUAUCAUGUAAUCGAGUUAGUUUUGUUAGGGUUUGAUCCCUAGUAUCCACUAUGUUCUGAGAUUGAUGUUGCUAUGACUUUGCUAUGCUUAAUGCUUGCCACUAGGGCCUGAGUGCCAUGAUUUCAGAUCUGAACCUAUUAUGUUUUCAUGAAUAUAUGUGAGUUCUUGAUCCUAUCUUGCUAGUCUAUAGUCACCUACUAUGUGUUAGGAUCCGGCAACCCCGAAGUGAUAAUAAUUGGGACCACUCCCGGUGAUGACCAUAGUUUGAGGAGUUCAUGUAUUCACUAUGUGUUAAUGCUUUGGUCCGGUACUCUAUUAAAAGGAGGCCUUAAUAUCCCUUAGUUUUCGUUAAGACCCCGCUGCCACGGGAGGGUAGGACAAAAGAUGUCAUGCAAGUUCUUUUCCAUAAGCACGUAUGACUAUAUUCGGAAUACAUGCCUACAUUAUAUUGAUGAAUUGGAGCUAGUUCCGUGUCACCCUAUGUUAUGAUUGUUACAUGAUGAACCGCAUCCGGCAUAAUCCUCCAUCACCGAUCCAAUGCCUACGAGCUUUUCACAUAUUGUUCUUCACUUAUUUACUUUUCCGUUGCUACUGUUACAAUCACUACAAAACCCAAAAAUACUACUUUUGCUACUGUUAUCGUUACUUCCAUACUACUUUGGUACUAAAUACUUUGCGGCAGAUACUAAGUUAUUAAGGUGUGGUUGAAUUGUCAACUCAACUGCUAAUACUUGAGAAUAUUCUUUGGCUCCCCUUGUGUCGAAUCAAUAAAUUUGGGUUGAAUACUCUACCCUCAAAAACUGUUGCGAUCCCCUAUACUUGUGGGUUAUCAAGACUAUUUUCUGGCGCUGUUGCCGGGGAGCAUAGCUCUAUUCUUUGAGUCACUUGGGAUUUAUAUCUGCUGGUCACUAUGAGGAACUUGAAAGACGAGAAAAAAAAAA